AGCGAACGCUGGCGGCAUGCCUUACACAUGCAAGUCGAACGGUAACAGGUCUUCGGAUGCUGACGAGUGGCGAACGGGUGAGUAAUACAUCGGAACGUGCCUAGUAGUGGGGGAUAACUACUCGAAAGAGUGGCUAAUACCGCAUGAGAUCUACGGAUGAAAGCAGGGGAUCGCAAGACCUUGUGCUACUAGAGCGGCCGAUGGCAGAUUAGGUAGUUGGUGGGAUAAAAGCUUACCAAGCCGACGAUCUGUAGCUGGUCUGAGGGGACGAUCAGCCACACUGGGACUGAGACACGGCCCAGACUCCUACGGGAGGCAGCAGUGGGGAAUUUUGGACAAUGGGCGCAAGCCUGAUCCAGCAAUGCCGCGUGCAGGAUGAAGGCCUUCGGGUUGUAAACUGCUUUUGUACGGAACGAAAAGCCCUGGGUUAAUACCCUGGGGUCAUGACGGUACCGUAAGAAUAAGCACCGGCUAACUACGUGCCAGCCGCCGCCGUAAAAC
rnacentral:rRNA from 1 species